rnacentral:rRNA from 1 species
AAUGAACGCUGGCGGCGCGCCUAAUACAUGCAAGUCGAGCGAGAAGACGUAGCAAUACGUUUGUAAAGCGGCGAACGGGUGAGGAGUACAUGGGUAACCUACCCUAGAGUGGGGAAUAACUAGCCGAAAGGUUAGCUAAUACCGCGUACGCUCCUUGGACUUCGGUUCAGGGAGGAAAGCGAUGCCGAGGGUAUCGCGCUCUUGGAUGGGCUCAUGUCCUAUCAGCUUGNGGUGAGGUAACGGCUCACCAAGGCUUCGACGGGUAGCUGGUCUGAGAGGACGAUCAGCCACACUGGCACUGCGACACGGGGCCAGACUCCUACGGGAGGCAGCAGUAAGGAAUAUUGCGCAAUGGGCGAAAGCCUGACGCAGCGACGCCGCGUGGGGGGA